rnacentral:rRNA from 1 species
CGUAGGGUGCAAGCGUUAAUCGGAAUUACUGGGCGUAAAGCGUGCGCAGGCGGUUUUAUAAGUCUGAUGUGAAAUCCCCGGGCUCAACCUGGGAACUGCAUUGGAGACUGUAAGGCUAGAGUGUGUCAGAGGGGGGUAGAAUUCCACGUGUAGCAGUGAAAUGCGUAGAUAUGUGGAGGAAUACCGAUGGCGAAGGCAGCCCCCUGGGAUAACACUGACGCUCAUGCACGAAAGCGUGGGGAGCAAACAGGAUUAGAUACCCUGGUAGUCCACGCCCUAAACGAUGUCUACUAGUUGUCGGGUCUUAAUUGACUUGGUAACGCAGCUAACGCGUGAAGUAGACCGCCUGGGGAGUACGGUCGCAAGAUUA